AAGUUUCUAGCACGAGGACCUUUGGAUAAUGCAAGAAGAUUUACUGCAUAUAACAUUAAUGGGUUCAAAUUUCAAACCUUGGCUCGAGAAGAGGGACUAAAAACACAAAAUAGUGGUGUUUUUUUUAACAUCUAACACAUCAUGUGUUUCAAGUAGUGUUGAUGGCAACUUAAGGCAAGCAGACUUGCCAUAUUAUGAGAAGUUGGAAGAUAUCAUUGAGAUUAACUACUAUGGUCGAUUCAGUGUUAUCCUUUUCAAAUGUAAAUGGGUUGAUACCACACAAGAUAGAGGUAUAAAAAGGACUGCUGGAAUUUUAAUUGUGUUAACUUUGAUAGAUUAAUUCAUGUUGGUGAUCGUGUAGAGCAUGAACCGUACAUUGAAGCAUCUCAAGCACAAAUGGUGUACUAUGUAGAUGAUGUAGUCAAUGAAGGAUGGAGUGUUGUUGUACAUAUAAAGCCAAGAGAUUUAUAUGACAUGGGAGAAGAAGUAGAAGAAAAUGCAUAUGAAAAUGAGCCAUACAAAGAGCAAGAGCUUGAACAAUUUUAUAGGCUCGAUGAUCAGUAUGUACAAUUGGCUACAAACCAUCUAAAUGAUAAUAUAGUUGAUUGAAGUUUGACUCCUAAAAUAGCAAGAAAUUCACACUUGUUUGGCUAUAUUUAUUUACUUUUGCACUUCCUUAAAGCAAUGAAUCCUGAAAUUAAUUCCCCACCAAUCGAUUCCUCACAUGAUCCUGAAGUCCCAACUAUUAAUGUCCCACUUUCUCAUGUAUUAACUUCUGAUGUUCCACAAGAAGAUGAAACUACUAGACUUCAUGUUGGGCGUGAGUCUACACAAUGUUGGACUGUUGAGGCAAUAGACUCUGAAGAAACUAUUAAGAAGAUUAAGGUGAAAGUUAGGGGAGUCAAUAGCUUACCUAGGGA